AUUGAACGCUGGCGGCAUGCCUUACACAUGCAAGUCGAACGGCAGCGGACCUUCGGGUGCCGGCGAGUGGCGAACGGGUGAGUAAUAUAUCGGAACGUACCUUUCAGUGGGGGAUAACGUAGCGAAAGUUACGCUAAUACCGCAUAUUCUGUGAGCAGGAAAGCAGGGGAUCGCAAGACCUUGCGCUGAUUGAGCGGCCGAUAUCAGAUUAGCUAGUUGGUGAGGUAAAGGCUCACCAAGGCGACGAUCUGUAGCGGGUCUGAGAGGAUGAUCCGCCACACUGGAACUGAGACCCCAGGUCCAGACUCCUACGGGAGGCAGCAGUGGGGAAUUUUGGACAAUGGGCGCAAGCCUGAUCCAGCCAUGCCGCGUGAGUGAAGAAGGCCUU
rnacentral:rRNA from 1 species